CCGGCAGCUGAGGGGCCGCGGAGGGGCCCGCCAGGCUCCCUGAGGCCGUGGAUGAUGAGGAACGGAGGGGGGGCGGGCGUCUGGCGGAGGUGCCUUGUUGUGGUGCCGUGCGCCUUGGUAACCCUGCCUAGGCUGGGAUUAGCCGUGCUGCGGCUGUCGGCUCGCUUCGCUUUCCUGGCUGGCUGUUAACCAUUUUUUCUUGCUGGAAUUGUCGUGUUCCUUGCCCGGUGUGCACAGUCGUGUUUGUGCUGCCUUUUGCUAAUGCAACGAUAUCCUCUUCAUCUUGGUCUAGCGCUUUAGACAGUGUGUGAGGCUUCUGUUCUGUUAGUAUUUGUUGUGUUGGUGCUUUGCCGGUGGCCUCAGCAGGGAGAAAAAGUAMAUGAAGUUAACUGGGGUCUUUUUCGUUUUCAGAAAUCCCUUAAUAAAAUGGAUGGCACAGCACAAGCAGUAAGGAAGAGAUCUUUGUAGGGUUGCCCAGGAGUCUGCUUCUAAUGCUGYGAAGAGAAGGAUCUGAACCCUGACCCCAGCAGCGCUUUGAAGUGUUCCCUGACAGACAAAGAUGAAGCUGAGCUAUCCAAAUGUGCUGGGAGGGUCGUGACCCUGCAGUGAACAGGGGCUGAUGGUUGAACGGGGCUGGAGUGGGGAGCAGGGUGACUCUGCAUGGAAAUGGGGCUGCUCUGGAGCCCUGCAGUCACAAACUGCAGCUGAAAGCAGAGGAGAAGCCAGGAGGCUGGGAGGGACAGUGGAUCCUUUCCUGGCCUUAUUGCAGAGGAUCAAGAAAGGUGCUUUAACACGGAAAGGGGUUUUCUCUUUGCAUAAAUACACAUGGAUGCCCUGUGUUUCUUGAGCUAACAGAAAAUGAGUUGAAGAUUUCCACUGCGGUAUUUUGAUUCCAAGAGAGACGGUGGCCGUGAUAAGCAGUAAAGAAACAAGGUGAUUGUGAUUCCUUCUUCCUGUGAAACCUUCACAGAAGAAAAAGUAUGGAAAGGCAAAGAAGAGGUUGUGAUAGAGAAUAUUAAUUCAGAUCACACAGCAGAGAGCCAGAAUGCAUGAGAUAAUGUCAGGUGUAAAGAAAAAUCCUUGUAUUUGCAGUGAGAAUAUUUCAAGUGAAAUGUUUCCAUCUGAACCCAGGAGAAAGAGGAAAGAUAACAGCUGAUUUCUUGUCAGAGAUCAGCUGUCAGAAUGAGCAGAUAAUACUUACUUAAUGGUAUCCAAAAUAGAAAUUCUCCAGUUCAAUCUGCACAGUCCCUGUAAAAAUAACAAAAACAGGAAAAAAAAGGAGUAAUUAAAAAUUUCAGAGGUACUCAGUGACAAAAUGCAAGACGAAAUAAAGCUCUGAGAGAUUAACUAACACAGAAUGAAUUUUCUCUCAUUAUUUCCCUUCCACUCUUCUGCUUCUUCUUUUCAUUUUUUCCCUGAAGCAUAUGCCAGGAAUGUUUCCAGCGAAUCAGUUCAGACAGGUUGAGCAGAUAUCCGGGGGAGCAGCCUUUGGUAAAUGGUGGGAUCACAGAGGUGGAACUGCAAUUCCGUGGCCUGGGCUGAACAUUCCCUUGUAAGCAAAAGGCUUUGCUUGUUCAGAGCCACAGAUGCAGCAUGGCAACAGGGAUGUGGCAUAUUGCUGAUUUAGGGGCAUGUGCCAGGAAUUGGGAAGUGCAGAUCAAGCCUUCUGAGAGAAAAUCAGACCAAUUAGAAUCUUGUCUCAUGUUUUUAAUUAACUUCAAACUCAGUCUCUUGUUUCUAGAAAAGGGGCGCCUGUGGGAAUGGAGGUACUUGGAUACAAAAGCAUCUUCCAAACCAUUUGGAAUUCACUCUGUUGAGAGCGGGUUUUGACUGGGCUUUAUUUUCAGCUAAAUUUUAAACAAGAUGCCAAGCAAUACAAAUGAAUUGAAAUUGAAAAGAAAGAGGAAGAUCCUGCUGGUUUGUGAUAGCUGCAUAUUGAGCCAGUCAGUCCAGUUACCACAGUAUCUGAAGAUCUCAGUCUUAAAGCAUCACUUCAAAACUUCUACAUAACUAACAUUUCUUUUAAAGGUUGAAAUCAACUUCUUAGAAGCCACCCAGAAUGUGAGAACUCAUUUCUAAAAAGAGUUUGCAUGCUUGUAACAGGUGAAAAUAUAUUGCAAUAUG